GCUUGUGUUGGCCAGGCGUUCACAGCAACGUAGCGCUUUCAUCCUUCAAUGCCAGUUCUUUUUUAUAACGACAAAGCAGAAUUCACAGAGCGUUGAAUUAUUCACUGCCUAGCAAGGACCGACAGCUGGUUUCAGACCGUUGUGAGAUAGCUU
rnacentral:ncRNA from 1 species